rnacentral:rRNA from 1 species
GACGGAGGGUCACUCCCAACCCAAUGUGAACGUUACCAAACUGUUGCCUCGGCGGGGUCUCUGCCCCGGGUGCGUCGCAGCCCCGGACCAAGGCGCCCGCCGGAGGACCAACCAAAACUCUUUUUGUAUACCCCCUCGCGGGUUUUUUUAUAAUCUGAGCCUUCUCGGCGCCUCUCGUAGGCGUUUCGAAAAUGAAUCAAAACUUUCAACAACGGAUCUCUUGGUUCUGGGAUCGAUGAAGAACGCAGCGAAAUGCGAUAAGUAAUGUGAAUUGCAGAAUUCAGUGAAUCAUCGAAUCUUUGAACGCACAUUGCGCCCGCCAGUAUUCUGGCGGGCAUGCCUGUCCGAGCGUCAUUUCAACCCUCGAACCCCUCCGGGGGGUCGGCGUUGGGGAUCGGCCCUGCCUCUUGGCGGUGGCCGUCUCCGAAAUACAGUGGCGGUCUCGCCGCAGCCUCUCCUGCGCAGUAGUUUGCACACUCGCAUCGGGAGCGCGGCGCGUCCACAGCCGUUAAACACCCAACUUCUGAAAUGUUGACCUCGGAUCAGGUAGGAAUACCCGCUGAACUUAAGCAUAUCAAUAGGCCGGAGGA